GCAAAAGACUGUCUUUUAAAGACUCUUUUCUCUUUUUCAGGCAUCCGCACUGAAACAUUCUGGAUUUCAUUGGGAAUGGUGCCUGUCAAUGACUAUGAAAACUGCUGCUGAAGCAAAUUCUAGAGGAGGUGGCAGACCAAUGGUUGUGGAUCCUUUGCACAUAUAAAUGUUUUUGUGUGUGUCUGUUUGACCAUGGUAGGAUAUUUAAUGUAUCAUAGAAACAGGUUUUGUACCUCCAGACUCAGUGUCACUCUCACCAUAGAUCCUUCCUUCCAAACAGAUUUUCCCUCAUUUGAACCUUUA